CCGAUUUCGCGAGGGAUCUGCCGAGCGAAACAUGGUGGCUGCAUAUGUUGCGAGCCAGAUAGGGCAGACUGCGCGAGUCCGUGCAGACCACGGCAAGUCGCAUUGCGUUGCCGCGACGGGUAGUGCAUACCGUCGGGCCCGCCGCCCGAAGGCGCCAGCGUGCGCAUGAAAAAAGGCCUUCAUCUGGCGAUGAAGGCCUUUUACU
rnacentral:ncRNA from 1 species